AGAACCCUUGUUUUAAGAAGAAAAGAAAGCGGGAUCAAGGGAGAAGGAAGGCACGCCCUCUAGAGGCUCUCACCUGGCGAGCAGCUGCCUGUGCUCUUCCUGCAGGGUCUCCAGCUCGACCUGAAGAGCAGCGUACUUCAAGACUUGCUCGUGGAGCUCCCCUCGGACCUCGGCCAACUGGCUCUCGUAGGCACAAAGUAUGUUCUCCAGGCCGUUGUCCGGCGAAGCCAUCGUAGCUGCAGGGACCACACCGGAGGAGCGCACUCUUGCAAGCGGUGGCGGAACCCCCCCUCGUCCUGCGUUAAGCAGAGGGAAAAGAAUCCGGCCAGGGCUAUAUAUGCGCUCCCCUGCUUUGCUGGAAGGUAUGAAUUUAAGGCCAAGAACAUCAAAAAGAAGAAGGUCAACAUCAUUAUCUCGGUGGACGGAGUGAAGGUGAUCUUGCGCAAGAAGCAGAAGAGAAAGGAGUGGGCCUGGGACGAGGGGAAGAUGGUGGUCAUGCAGGAUCCUGUUUACAGGUUUCCAGCUGGCUGGGGCAGCAAUGGCUGACGAAGAAAACGGUCCCGAG